UAUGGACUUUUGGACCUGUGCCAAACUGAUCAACUGCAUCCUAAUGGAACGUUCAAGAUGUGAUUCAGUAACUGAUACGGUUGUUGCAAUAAUUAUUUUUGACCAAAUUGAAUCCACAAAAUAAUUGAAGAAAUGGUUUCAGAUGAUUACGAACAAGCGCAGCUAUCUUUGGAGAGGUAAUGCACCUACUGAUAUCCCGUGAUAAGAACUUGGGAGAGAUUUAGUGAAAACCUGGAGAACGGCCACUUAGCUCACAAAUCUGAGCUGUUCACAUCAAGCUGAUAUUUGUGACAGCCAUUAUAGCUUUAAUCAUUUUCUCGAUUGAUCAAAGCACCACAGACUGCAUCGUUCGUCACCUCUGCCUUUAAGCGCGUUAUCACCUACUCCAAUAAGCCACCCCAAUAUCCUUAAUAAGCAAUAGAAGUUCUUAUCGACUGUGUAUGACUCAUUAAUAUCCAUGUUCUGUAUAAAUUUAUGUGAUAGGCCUACUGGUAUUAAUGUUGAUGUACCGUAAUGUUUUUUGCUCAUGUAUAAUUGAUAAUAAUACAUUAAAAAUAAAUAUAAUGUUAAAUUAUUA
rnacentral:lncRNA from 1 species